rnacentral:rRNA from 1 species
AUGUGUGAGGGGCUCAUUGACCGGCCGUUGCUGCAGUGCCGGUGCAAUGCCAAGAACGGCGGCGGCGCGGCCGUGCCUCCGAACGACGACCACGCUGUCGUCGUUGUGUCCAUGUCGGCGCCUGUCCUGGCUGACAGGCCGUCGUCGUUGACCAAGGACGCGGCGAAGGAGGCCGUGUCGAUCCUGGGGCUGUCAUUGCCGAUGAUCAUGACGGGGCUCAUACUCUACGUCCGUCCGAUGAUCUCGAUGCUGUUCCUCGGCCGGCUCGGCGAGCUGGCCCUUGCCGGCGGGUCCCUCGCCAUGGGCUUCGCCAACAUAACCGGGUACUCAGUCCUGUCCGGCCUCGCCUCGGGCAUGGAACCUGUGUGUGGCCAGGCCGUCGGCGCCAAGAACCUGCCCCUCGUCGGCGCCACCAUGCAGCGGAUGGUGCUCUUCCUCCUCGCCGUCUCCGUGCCUGUCGCCUUCCUAUGGUUUCAGAUGGAGCCGCUUCUCCUGCUUUGCGGCCAGCAUGCCGCCAUCUCCGCGGCGGCGCAGCGCUACAUUCUCUUCUGCCUGCCCGACCUCCUCUUCCAGUCCUUCUUGCACCCGCUCCGUAUCUACCUCCGCACGCAGUCCAUAAACCUCCCGCUCACCACCUGCGCCACGCUCGCUGUCGCCCUCCACCUCCCCAUCAACUACCUCCUCGUAUCAGUGCUCGGGCUCGGCGUCGAAGGAGUUGCACUCGCCUCCGCCUGGACCAACCUCAACCUCGUGCUCUUCCUCCUCGGUUAUGUCUACGUCUCCGGCGUGCACCAUGCCACCGGGGGCUUCUCGCUGUCAUGCAAGCUUUUCAAGGACGAUGUUGCCGCGUGGGUGCGGCUGGCCAGGCUCGCCGUCGAGAGCUGCGCGAGCGUGUGCCUCGAGUGGUGGUGGUAUGAGAUCAUGAUCCUGCUGUGCGGCCUCCUGGCCAAUCCCGAAGCCACCGUCGCCUCCAUGGGGGUGCUUAUCCAGACCACAUCGCUGCUCUACAUCUUCCCGUCGUCUCUCAGCUUCGGCGUGUCGACCCGGGUCAGCAACGAGCUCGGCGCGAACCGUCCAGCUGCGGCGCGCGCCGUGGCCACCGCGGGGCUCGCGCUGAGCGCACUACAGGGCGUCAUCUCCUUCCUGUUCGCCGUGGCUGUGCGCAACGUGUGGGCGCGCAUGUUCACGACGGACGCGGCCAUCCUCGCGCUCACGGCCUCCGUGCUUCCUAUCCUCGGGAUGUGCGAGCUCGGCAACUGCCCUCAGACCACCGGAUGCGGCGUGCUCCGAGGGAGCGCACGGCCCAAGGACGGCGCGCACGUCAACCUCGCCGCCUUCUACGGCGUCGGCAUGCCCGUUGCCCUCGGGCUCGCGUUCUGGGCCGGCAUGGACUUCAGGGGGCUCUGGCUUGGCCUUCUCGCCGCGCAGGCGGCGUGUGUCACGGUGAUGCUCGUGGUGAUCGGGCGCACGGACUGGGACAGACAGGCUGACCUGGCGCAGGUGCUCGCCGGAGUCGCCGACGACAUCGAACACGGAGGCUAUGUCAACGGAAACGGUGGGAAAGACGCGAGCGAGUGCGUCAAGGUUGCGGCGCCCGACGGCGAUGAGGACUCCAGCUUGCUCAUCACUGUGGUAGGACUGACCGGCGCGCCUUGA